GAUGAACGCUGGCGGCGUGCCUAAUACAUGCAAGUCGAGCGAACAGACGAGGAGCUUGCUCCUCUGACGUUAGCGGCGGACGGGUGAGUAACACGUGGAUAACCUACCUAUAAGACUGGGAUAACUUCGGGAAACCGGAGCUAAUACCGGAUAAUAUAUUGAACCGCAUGGUUCAAUAGUGAAAGACGGUUUUGCUGUCACUUAUAGAUGGAUCCGCGCCGCAUUAGCUAGUUGGUAAGGUAACGGCUUACCAAGGCAACGAUGCGUAGCCGACCUGAGAGGGGGAGCGGCCACACUGGAACUAAGACACGGUCCAGACUCCUACGGGAGGCAGCAGUAGGGAAUCUUCCGCAAUGGGCGAAAGCCUGACGGAGCAACGCCGCGUGAGUGAUGAAGGUCUUCGGAUCGUAAAACUCUGUUAUUAGGGAAGAACAAAUGUGUAAGUAACUAUGCACGUCUUGACGGUACCUAAUCAGAAAGCCACGGCUAACUACGUG
rnacentral:rRNA from 1 species